GGUGAUCAACUUGCCAUAGCUAAGGAAACAGGAAGGAGACUUGGAAUGGGAACAAAUAUGUAUCCAUCUGCUUCAUUGCUUGGUCAAGACAAAGAUGCAAGUAUUGCCGCACUUCCCGUAGAAGAGCUGAUUGAGAAGGCAGAUGGAUUUGCUGGAGUUUUUCCAGGUUCAUACUCUUGUACCAACUCACUAUUAUCCUAUUCUUAUUGGUUUUUGCCUCUACUUAUGUUCAUUGAAAAUUUGUAGUUGCUAAUCGUGUCCUUAUUAUAUUCUACAGAGCACAAAUAUGAAAUUGUAAAGAAGUUGCAAGAGAGGAAGCACAUUUGUGGAAUGACUGGAGAUGGUGUCAAUGAUGCUCCUGCGUUGAAGAAGGCUGAUAUUGGAAUUGCUGUUGCUGAUGCUACUGAUGCGGCAAGAAGUGCUUCUGACAUUGUCUUGACAGAACCUGGAUUGAGCGUUAUUAUUAGUGCAGUCUUAACUAGCAGAGCUAUUUUCCAAAGAAUGAAGAACUACACC
rnacentral:lncRNA from 1 species